UACGUAGGGUGCGAGCGUUAAUCGGAAUUACUGGGCGUAAAGCGUGCGCAGGCGGUUCGUUAAGUCAGAUGUGAAAGCCCCGGGCUCAACCUGGGAACUGCAUUUGAAACUGGCGGGCUUGAGUGUGGCAGAGGGGGGUGGAAUUCCUGGUGUAGAGGUGAAAUUCGUAGAUAUCAGGAGGAACACCAGUGGCGAAGGCGGCUUUCUGGACGGUAACUGACGCUGAGACGCGAAAGCGUGGGGAGCAAACAGG
rnacentral:rRNA from 1 species